rnacentral:lncRNA from 1 species
UUCCUGCAAGUUUGUGGGAUAUUUUUCUGCAAAGGUUUUUCUGUCCUUCACAAGUGUAAAACCACAGGAUUCUCACUGGGAAAACCUUCUCAUUCUUUACCUGGGAGGUAAGGAAGACCAGAAAGCACUCAGAGGAAAAGGCAUUGUGUACAUGUUACAUCUCAACUUUGAGGCACUGGGGAAAGCUACGGGUGUGGCAUGAACU